ACGCUAUCAGCUGGAAGUUGACUCCCAGUUGGAUGGAUAAACCUGCUGGAAGGGCUCCACCGGCACUCAGGGCAAACCCCUGUUCCUGUUCUGCAUAGGACACUAUGGGAGGUCGAAGCCAUUCCAUACAAUUGGAAAGCAGCAUACGAGAAAUACGCUUAUUCUUCUGUCACGGCUGUCAAAAAUGGACGAGGGGAGAAAGUACCAAACACUACAUUUCAUCAGAGCCCUGAAGUGUUCUGCAUAGUGUCAUAGCCUCCCAUUGGCGGUCUCAUGUCUCUGGCAGAUGAAUUUAUCCAGAGCCCCUUGAAAAUUCAGAGGUAGAAGAAGCUUCUGGAACUCCUCAGCUCAUGUAAACCCAUGGAGCUGGUCCAACGGCCAGCGGCAAGUGGAGACAGACUUCUUGGCCAAGAGAUUUUUGCUAGGUAGGGACUGCAAGCAAAGACAUGACAGAGUUUAUAAUCCAACGUGUGCUUUAGUCAUUUAGUUAAAGAAGAUUUAGUUAAAUGGUGGAUUGCUCCCCAAAAUGGUUAAAGCUCCACAUCUGUUGGGGAAAUGCAUUUUGGAGAA